UAGAAUGUGGUAAAGAAUGAUUUACAAGGUAUUUUAAAAAGGAUUUACAUGACUUGCAAUCGUUUUUAACGGAUUAGAAAGUGGUAAGGAUUGAUUUACAAGGGAUUUUAAAAAGCUAUUAAAAAGGGUUUAAUUGAUUAACAAUUGUUUUAGAAGCAGAACUUAGUGGCAUAGAAUGAUUUACAAGGUAUUUUAAAAAGGGUUUGCAUUUUUUACAAUCGUUUUUAAAGGGGUUUUCUAAUAUGAUAAUUUUUAUUUUUGUUGUGUUUAGAAUGUUGAUGCAGCUUUGGAGUUGAUGAAAACGAGGAAGGAAAGCAAUCCAGAAUUAUUCAAAAACAAAUCAGUUGUAUUUGUUGGCUCGUCUUUCUUAAAUACGAUUGAUGAGUCAUACAUGGAGUUUUUGGAUGACAAAGAGGGAUUUCAGUUUCAGUCUGAAGAAAUCAGUAAGCUUAU
rnacentral:sRNA from 1 species